rnacentral:rRNA from 1 species
GUUACAGACCAGAAAGUCGCCUUCGCCACUGGUGUUCCUCCAUAUCUCUGCGCAUUUCACCGCUACACAUGGAAUUCCACUUUCCUCUUCUGCACUCAAGUUUUCCAGUUUCCAAUGACCCUCCACGGUUGAGCCGUGGGCUUUCACAUCAGACUUAAAAAACCGCCUACGCGCGCUUUACGCCCAAUAAUUCCGGAUAACGCUUGCCACCUACGUAUUACCGCGGCUGCUGGCACGUAGUUAGCCGUGGCUUUCUGAUUAGGUACCGUCAAGAUGUGCACAGUUACUUACACAUAUGUUCUUCCCUAAUAACAGAGUUUUACGAUCCGAAGACCUUCAUCACUCACGCGGCGUUGCUCCGUCAGGCUUUCGCCCAUUGCGGAAGAUUCCCUACUGCUGCCUCCCGUAGGAGUCUGGACCGUGUCUCAGUUCCAGUGUGGCCGAUCACCCUCUCAGGUCGGCUAUGCAUCGUUGCCUUGGUAAGCCGUUACCUUACCAACUAGCUAAUGCAGCGCGGAUCCAUCUAUAAGUGACAGCAAGACCGUCUUUCACUUUUGAACCAUGCGGUUCAAAAUAUUAUCCGGUAUUAGCUCCGGUUUCCCGAAGUUAUCCCAGUCUUAUAGGUAGGUUAUCCACGUGUUACUCACCCGUCCGCCGCUAACAUCAGAGAAGCAAGCUUCUCGUCCGUUCGCUCGACUUGCAUGUAUUAGGCACGCCGCCAGCGUUCAUCCUGAGCCAGGAUCAAACCCUG